rnacentral:rRNA from 1 species
UACGUAGGGUGCGAGCGUUAAUCGGAAUUACUGGGCGUAAAGCGUGCGCAGGCGGUUCGUUAAGACAGAUGUGAAAUCCCCGGGCUUAACCUGGGAACUGCAUUUGUGACUGGCGAGCUAGAGUAUGGCAGAGGGGGGUAGAAUUCCACGUGUAGCAGUGAAAUGCGUAGAGAUGUGGAGGAAUACCGAUGGCGAAGGCAGCCCCCUGGGCCAAUACUGACGCUCAUGCACGAAAGCGUGGGGAGCAACAAGG